GCGGGUGUGGUUCAACAGCAGAAUGCGGCCGUGCCAAGGCCGAGACGACGGUGCGACUCCGUUCACCCGCUCCA
rnacentral:tRNA from 2 species